ACACACACACACACACACACACACACACACACACACACACACACAGAGCUUAUGUACAGAUCUCCAGUCCUGCCUUACCUUUUGUUCCUAAAUACUGUCUAGAUCCUAUCUAUACUCAUGGUAUUUCCUUCUCUUUUCCAAAACUUGUGACUCUUAAACUAAACAGUGACAUAAAUAUCAGUCCUCUCAAAUGAGAAAUCCUUUCUUUUUUCUUCUCCUCUUACAUAGACACUUUUCUGUAUGUAGUACAGACUGCCAAGGACUGGCAACGCCCUACCCUCAGCCAGCUGAGUGUUUGAGCUACAGGUGUGCACCUAAUCUUACUGGGUUUUGUGGUUUUGUUUUUAAAUGAUGUGUGUAACUGUGGAUACCCUUAAAAUUUUAAUCUUUCUGGUUCCAUGUGCCAAAUGUAGGGAUUCCAGGAAUUCUCUACCAAGCCUGGUUUUUUUUAUCCUGGGGACCAAACUCAGGACUUCCUUCAUGAUGGGCAAUAGGUGUCCCAGCUGAGUCACACCUGUAUCUCAGCCUAGUCUGGGAUUCGAUAUGUAGCUGAGGAAUACCUGGAGUUCUGGAUCAUCCCUAUGGAAUUACAGAUCAGCACCACCGACCCUGCAUUUUCUCCUUUUUUCUUUAGCUUUUGUUGCAGGACCAGUCUUUCUACUCAGAGUCUUUUGAAGUACCACAAACAUGAGUUGUAGCAGGAUGCCACUCUUCUUCUAAGCUGCUCCGUGGGACAGAUGGAAGGACACCAGUGCAUGUCCACAUGUGCAGCUGAUGACCCUAGGAAGAUGGAGCCUCACCCCCACAGUUUGAAGGUUUAGUCUCCUCACCUGUGGGGUCUCACUCUCUCACAUUUGCCCUUUCUAGACACUUGGUGGAUUUUUCUUAAAACUAGAUGCCAGAGCCAAGGUUAGGGUGUGUGCCGAUAAUCCCGGGACUGUGGAGGCUUAGAUUGGAGAGUAGCCAUAGACUCAAGGCCAUCCUGGGUGAUAUAAGGAACAGUAAUCUAGCUUGGUUGCAGUGUGAGAUCUCUCUCUUUAAAAACUGAAAGUAAAUAGCAGGACUAGUGUCGGUGUGUCCAUUGUGCAUAUACGUUCUUGUUCCUGGGUUCUUGCCCAGCACAAAAUCAAACCAGGUGGAGCUUGCCUGGUAUUGGGGUUGGAGACAAGAGGAUCAGGCAGUCAAGGUAUGUUCCAACACAAAGAUUGAAGCCAGUGUGGGAGGAAUGACACUAUUUUAAAUAAACAAUCCCUACUCUCAAACCUUAAUGCCCAUAUCUAAGAAAACAAUGACAUGGCAUCCCAUCACAACCGCAUAUUCCUUGUGAAUCUGAAUACCGUUCAAAUGGAGAAAGGAAAACAGAGCAUCCAGAUGCGCAGUGAAUAUUUUGUGUGACUCACAUCAGGAAUUGGCCUGAGCAUUGAGUUCAUCCCUUGUGCACUGCACUGAGGAGCUGUUCGAAUCGAACAGCUUUCAAACCUGGGCUACCCAGGCAAUGUCCCUGAAAAAAUGUCAUACAUAGAGAGCUGCUUCUCCUGGACCUGGUCUCCACAAUGAGGAUGACUGGGUGGCUGGUCAAGAAUGAAAUUCACACCAGGGCGAGAUUCAGAAUCACAAGAGGGCUGGCAACAUGUCUGUCUGUCCACUGAGUGAUUCGUUCCCUUUUAGAUAUGAGUACAAUUCUCAGCAAUCAUGGGAAAGAAGCAGCAGGCCUGCUGAGGCUUGCUACCAAGCACUUGGACAUAGAGACAAAGGUGCAUAUCCUUAUUGUUUUGUUAUUUAUUCAUUUAUUUUUAGACAGGCUUUCGCUGUUUGGCCCUGUCUCUAUAUCCAGACUGGCAUGUCCCCCAAUUGUUUCAAUCAAGGCAUGCACCACCACCACCACUAUUGGCUACAGGUGCAUCCACCUUGCUGACCUGGAGAAAGCCUGUGUUGAAAACACAAGCUGUAACAGCAUCUGCGAGUUGACAUUUGAGGGAAUACAUGUGCUACUUUGAUCAAAGUUUGAGAAUACACGAGAAUGUGUACAAGGACACAUUUGCAUAAGCACACAAGUGUAAACAUAUUACAUGUGAGUGUGU